GCUUGUCUCAAAGAUUAAGCCAUGCAUGUCUAAGUACAAGCCGCUAGUUCGGCGAAACCGCGAAUGGCUCAAUAAAUCAGUUAUGGUUCCUUAGAUCCACUCCAUCCUACUUGGAUAACUGUGGUAAUUCUAGAGCUAAUGCCUGAAAAACGUGUGAAUUUAGUAGCACAAAUACUAGAGUAUGGAUGAGUCCGCUCUAUUCAGGAGGGUUUUCCCUCUGUUGACCAUCGAGUUCGAGGGUUGAAUACUUAGGCUUCGGCUUCUGUUGAAAGCUUUAUCGGUGGCCGGGAAGAUAUGUUUCUAAUCUAUUAGCCAGACUAUUGGGUAAGGUCCAAUUUUCGGCUAUAAUGGAUACAGGGGAUCGGUGUCCGACUCUGGAGAGAGAGCCUGAGAAACGGCUAUCACAUCUAAGGAAGGCAGCAGG
rnacentral:rRNA from 1 species